GGGGCUGAGGGGAGGGGGACCUGGUGCCAGUCGCUUAAAAGUGCCCCUGUGGCAGUGAGGGGCACCAGAGGCCGCGUCAAGUUAGUUGAGAAGCAGUGACACCCCCCAACCACGCCCCAGACAGGCUGGCCCCCAUCUCCAAGCCCCAAGGAGCCACACCUGGACCAGGCCUCCAGAAAGGCAAGGGCACUGGCUGGCAGGAGCCUUCCCUACCACCUGAUGUCAGAAAGCAAGCACCCAAUGAGCCAGCCUCCUGGGGACAGAGGAGAGCAAGCGACAUGUGGCUCUGGAAACAGAACUCCUCCCCUUCACCCACACCUCCCCAGAGCUUCCCAACAGAAGACAGAGGUUCCCCCCCAGCCUAGCGACAUUUCCUGAAGACAUAGGAAGUGCAGAAGCGGAAAGAGUCUCUCUACCCCGGAGCUGCCCCCAUGCUGCCAAUGGCCACCACUGAGCCAGCCGCCAGGUAAGAUUCAACCACCACCUGGCAUGACAGGUGCAGAAAGCCUGGUGAGAGGUAGAACCCGGGACUCCAGGGUAGCCUCCCCUUCAUCUCCUGACCAGAGAGCCUGAGUGUGAAGGGGGCUCUUGU